rnacentral:rRNA from 1 species
UAAGGAAUAUUGGUCAAUGGACGCAAGUCUGAACCAGCCGUGCCGCGUGGAGGAUGAAGGUCCUCUGGAUUGUAAACUUCUUUUAUCUGGGACGAAACACUUCUUUUCUAAGAGGCCUGACGGUACCAGAUGAAUAAGCACCGGCUAACUCCGUGCCAGCAGCCGCGGUAAUACGGAGGGUGCAAGCGUUAUCCGGAUUCACUGGGUUUAAAGGGUGCGUAGGUGGGUAUGUAAGUCAGUGGUGAAAUCCCCGAGCUUAACUUGGGAACUGCCAUUGAUACUAUAUAUCUUGAAUACCGUAGAGGUAAGCGGAAUAUGUCAUGUAGCGGUGAAAUGCUUAGAUAUGACAUGGAACACCAAUUGCGAAGGCAGCUUACUAUGCGGUGAUUGACACUGAGGCACGAAAGCGUGGGUAGCAAACA